CUCGAGCGAGAAACAGUCGCACGCACGACUCUCUGCCCUCGCUCGCCCGCCGCUGCCCUUCGUCCCUUCACCGCCACCGCUCCAUCCCUUCGCCGCCGCCCUCCCACAUCAAAGCCGGCGCCGCUCCAUCCCUUCGCCACCGCCUCUGGAUCUUCUGCCUAGGGUUCCCCGCCGCCGCUACCCCUCCCUCGAGCGUGGGCGGCCACCGGCGAAGGAUGCCCGCUCCCCCUCCUCUCCGGCCACACCGGUCUCCCCCUAACCACAAAGUGGGCGCACGCGGUGCGGGCUCCGGCGAACGCGGCCGCACGCGAUCCAGAGGCCCGACGGCGCCCACAUCCCUCGCCUCUCUGGUCACACGUCGCCUCCCUAACCACGAAGUGGGCGCACGCGGGGUGGGAUCCGGCGAACGCGGCCGCGCGCGAUCCAGCGGCCUGGCGGCGCCCGCAUCCCUCUCCUCUCCGAUUGCAUGUCUCUUCCCUUCCUACAAAGUGGGUGCACGCAGGGCGGCCACUCCGCCAACCGACUCCAGGAGCUCUGCGUUCGCAACGGCAACAUCUACAUCAAGCUCGGCCAGCACAUCGCACAACUGGUACGGAAAGGAAUUCCUAACUCUGUGAGGAUACGCCUGAAUUCACUUUGGAUUCAUCUGUGGUAAGAUUGCAUAAUUUUGUGGCUGUGGAACAGCUGCUUGUUUGCUUGUACUACCACAGGUGUAUGUGCAGACGAUGAGGGCGUCGAUGCUCAAGAGGUCGUCCGCGGAGUCAUCAAGAAAGAGAAUGGAUAAUUGCCACAAACCGUUCAACACGACCACUUGGUGGUUACUUCUGUAAUAGAUAUCACCACUGUGGAUUUAGUAGUGAAUUUUCUUCAUUAUAUUUUCCCUAAUUUUGACUACAGGUAAAACCAGUCAAUGGGUGCAACUGUUCUUUGUCUAUUACCUUGUUCUCUCUCUCCCUCUUUUUAACAUACCACCUCGAAAGCUUUUAGACUUAUGCUAAUUUUUAGAAUUAGUUAUGAUAGAGAGAAGGACUCUGAUCUGCAUGCUUUGACUGAUGGCAUCUUACCGAAAAAUGGCAGGCAAGUAUGUUAAUUGGGUUGAUGUGGAGCUAGAGAAACUUGAGAGGACAUAGGAGGUGUUAUUGGGAAGUGUGCUAAAUUGUGUUUUUUAGGAAGACAAUCAUCUUAUACUAAAACGGAAAGACUAAGCUCAAUUCCAUGUUUGAAGUCUUGUAUACAUAAUGCUCUAAUUCAUACUGGACUGCUAUUCCUGACAUGGCAAUGGUUUCAGGGUAUUAUUUGAGCUGAUAUGGAGGGACUACUUCAGAUUUCAUCCAGCAAAAUAUGAGAACUCUAUUUUCUUACUAGUUCAUACCCACUAUGUUCGUGUCUUCACCACUUCGUCCUCCAGCACAAACGCCAGAAUGGGGCAAAAGCUGUGAUUUGCCAUGUCGGUAAACUGAUCCAGCUCGCAGCCAUGGGGUGCUAUGUCCGCGCCGGAGAACUGAUACAGCUCGCUGCCAGGGUGCCAUCCCUCUUCUGGCGUGCCAUAAAGCCCCUCGAUCGAAUCCCUGACUCAGCAAAUCAAAAUUGCCAACCCAGCAAAUCUCGUCGGAACAUCAUCUAGCUUGCCGUGCUCCACUCACUGUAAGUUUGUGUCAGUUUACAUGGCACUUAUCUCAUCUGGCUCACAGACACCUUCAGUGGACCUUUGCCACUGCUAACAGUCUGUAUUGUACACUCCGGGACCAAGGCGAUCGACAUUUUCUUGACUGGUCGAUGGUGAUUGCUCCCAUGUCUGUUUUUUUGUUCUUUACAGAAUUUGGUUCUAUAAUAUCAUCAUUUAGUGAAUUUUACCUACCCACACAAACAUGAUAUGACAUGCUAUUGCCUGUUCUCUAAGGUAAUGUAUAAAUUUGUUGCUUAGUUAGGAAGCGGCUGAAUCGUGUUGGAUUUGCAGCGAGAGGAAGCCUGUCAACAUGAUGAACAGGGUAGUUUUUACUGAGGGUAUCUCGGCAAGGAAGAGACCGGAUGUUUGUCAUUGACCUACUUUGAAAACGAAGGCUAAAACCGCAGUGGCAGACAUGCUUACAAAAUCUCGUGAAGAUCGUUCUGCUGAUGAUGGUACUCUAACAGAAUAAGAACAGUGGGAAAGAGAGCAAGCCAGCCUUGUUCGUUAUUGAGAGGGGGAAGUUGAAAUCUUGCCAGAUAAAGGGCGUUAAGUGGCUAAUAUCACAGUGGCAAAAUGGGCUUAAUGGAUACUGGGUGAUCAAAUGGGCCUUGGAGAAACAAUUUAGACAAUUGCAUUUCUUGCUCAUCUUAAAGGGAAUGGUCUGUAUGGUCCAUACAUGGUUAUUGCUCUUCCUUCCACCCUGUCAAACUGGUUGAACGACUCAAUGAGGUUUGCUCCUUCUCUAAAUGGUCUGAUUUAUCAUGGAGAUAAAGUGGCUCGGACAGAGCUAACGAGAAACUACAUGCCCAAAACUGUUGGUCCUGGUUUUCCGAUAAUAAUCACUUCAUAUCUGAUGGCCAUGUUUGAUGCAAAGUUUCUUGCUAAUUAUAAGUGGAAGUCACAUGAUCUGAAUUAUUGCCCUUGUAAGCAAAAACUCAACAUUUUAUUCCUUUCUCUUGAGUGCAUUCCUCAUUAUUUAAUUAUCGAUGUCCAUAUGCUAGCUUCAUGUUUCAGUCAUAAUUCCUUUCUCUGCGAGGGAAUUUAUGGCCAGGUGCGCUCAUAUACUUCUAUCUUCUAAACAUGCUUUCAUAUGAAUGAGCUGAAGUCAUUUCCUAGAAACUAUGGUGCUUUUACUUUUUAUUUAGGUUGCUUGACCAAGGUUGUUCAGUGAUUGUGUGCACUCCACAUGCAUCGCCAUUUAUUGAGUAAGAAAAACAUGAUAUUUUUCUGAUUAUUUUCACAAGUUAUCAAAAUGCAUUAUUUUACCGACCAUCACAAGUUAACGAAAUGCAUUAUUUUACCGUUUAAAUGAUGCUAAUUGCCUAGGGUCGAUAGUGUAGAAAAAUAGAAUAAUUUUCUACUUAUUUAUCUUGUUACGGUAGUUUUUGUAUAUAAGAAACUACAAAGAUAUAACCAAACCAACUUUCUUUAUCAAAAUUCAUCUAAUAGAGGACCCUAUUGUGUGACAACAUUGAGACACAACAUGGAGCAUUGCAACUGUCACAAUGACAUUGGAGGCAAGGGAAUAUUUUAACUCGGUGUUAAAAAUAUGAAAGGGAAAAAAGAGACGACAUCACAUAUUAUGACCAUGGUAUGUGUAUUGUAGAUUUUUAGAAAUGCAUGGCCAAUAUGUUGUUAUGUCUUGACUUGUCCUUAUGAUUGAGUGCUUGUCAGGAAAUUGCUACGGGACAUAGCUCGGCAAGAAAUGAAUUUUAUUAUGUUGUUGUCAUCAGAUGGUACCUCGGUGAGUAAGUUGAUGAUAGCCUUCUAAUCAUGGGUGUCAAGUCCAAUCAAAUCUGGUUGAGGGCCAUCUUAUUGUGCUCAGAUAUGGAAAGAAUCCGCAGCCGCUCCGUUGCCACUAUUGCUGUCGGCACUUGAUGCAGAGGGGUGAAUGAAAGGAGAAUGUGAAUAAGGAAGAGUGCACGGCAAAGGAGUGGUCCAUACCUUUUUUUUAUCACAAUGAGGGAGUUAACCCACACUAGAUCCAUGAUCUGCUGAAUGGCGGUUGUCUGGUUUGAGCUGAUAGACAGUUGCCAUGGAGAGCGAGGCGGUGUGGGGCACCUCGUGGAUGACCUUGUCUAUGCUUCAUAACCAAAACAUAAUCUUCUUUUGGUUAUUUUAUUUUCUCUGGGAUUUGUCCCCUUAUGCUUCUCUUAUUGCCUCAAUAAAGUUUGGUGUUAUGGCAA